AGGGAAUGCCGUUUUGACCUUCCUCUUUCUCUCUCUCUAGAUCCCAGCUAAAGGGACCGAACCCCAGAUGACACUUCGCGGUUGCCUUAAAAUCCACUCCAACUCCUCCUUCGUAGAAAACCCUAAACCUCUCCCUCUUUGACUUAUAUGGAUUAACAUUCGAUUUGCAUUUUGAAUUGCAAAAAUUAGGAGGUCUAUUUACGGGAAAAUCGUCAAAACUCUUUAAACUUUCUCGCUAUUUUCAACUCUAAGCCAUGGACGCACAGCGUGCUUUGCUUGACGAACUCAUGGGAACGGCUCGUAAUUUAACGGAGGAAGAGAAAAAGGGUUACAGGGAAAUUCGAUGGGAUGAUAAAGAAGUUUGUGGAUUUUAUAUGGUUCGCUUUUGUCCUCACGACCUCUUCGUCAACACUCGCAGUGAUCUCGGACCAUGCCCUAGAGUUCAUGACCAAAAGUUGAAAGAAAGUUUUGAGAAGUCCCCGAGACACGAUGCUUAUGUGCCCAAAUUUGAAGCUGAACUGGCUCAGUUUUGUGAGAAAUUGGUGAUGGAUCUCGACAGAAGGGUUAGGCGUGGACGAGAACGCCUUGCUCAAGAGGUGGAACCAGCGCCACCUGCUCCAGUAUCUGCAGAAAAGUCUGAGCAGCUAUCUGUGUUGGAGGAAAAAAUAAAAAACUUGCUGGAACAAGUGGAAAACCUUGGUGAAUCCGGAAAGGUGGAUGAAGCUGAGGCACUUAUGAGAAAGGUGGAGGUGCUUAAUGCUGAGAAGACAGCCUUGACUCAACUACCUCAAAACGAUAAAGUAUUGAUGCUUGCGCAGGAGAAAAAAAUGGCUCUAUGUGAGGUUUGUGGAUCUUUUCUAGUGGCCAAUGAUGCUGCUGAGAGGACUCAGUCCCAUGUUACAGGAAAGCAACAUAUUGGUUAUGGAAUGGUUCGGGAUUUCAUUUCUGAGUUCAAGGCAGCUAAGGAGAAAGCCAGGGAAGAGGAAAGAUUAGCAAGAGAGAAAGAAGUUGAAGAACGGAGAAAGCAGAGGGAGAAGGAAUAUGAGAGUAGGAGGAGGAGAAGUGAUUCAGGUGACACGGACAAGUAUCGUGAUCGAGACAAGGAUCGGGACCGAUAUAGGGAACGUGAUUUGGAUCGUGAAAGGUCUCGAGAAUGGAAUGGUAGAGGUAGUAGGGAUGGAGAGAGGGAUUGGAGGUACAAGAAUGGAAGAGAUGGAGGCAGAGAUAGGCACAAGGAGCACAGCAGGUCACGUUCCCCUGGUAGACAUAGUCACAGGAGGUCCUCAAGAAGUCCAAGUCGACGAUAUUAGUGCAUUCUGUACAUAAAUGUUUUGGCUUUGAAAGCCAAUGAGGUAGACCUCUUAUUUUUUUCUAGUUUACAAACAUGUGCUUUUGGAGUAGUGCUAAAUUUUGUCAUCAUGGGUGAAACUUGUUUCUUCAUAUCUCACAGCUUUUUUGAGACUAUACCCACUCCCUUUGAUCAAAAUUACUAGAGAAGAAAAGGGUUGAGUCAAGCAGCUGAGAAAGAUGACCUCUUUCCAAUUAUGAGGCUGCUGUUGUGGAAUAAUCCAGGGAAAAUCUUAGACAAAUUGAGAAAGUACCUUUAAACAUAUGUGGUUUUGAAGGUUUUUUAGUACCCUAAGCACACAUGUUUUUUGUGCUACUGUAAAUUUAUACAAUACACUUAGGUUAGAGUAUUCUUUCCUUUUGUUUAAUUGUUUUGUAAAUGACUAGAUUCAGUUGGGGUUUCCUGUUUUUGUUCUUUGUGAUGGAUUUGUAUGAUCACAAAUUUUCAAUUUGUUUGGAAGGCAUUGUUCUUGUAGU